rnacentral:rRNA from 1 species
GUGGGGAAUAUUGCACAAUGGGCGCAAGCCUGAUGCAGCAACGCCGCGUGAGGGACGACGGCCUUCGGGUUGUAAACCUCUUUUAGCAGGGAAGAAGCGAAAGUGACGGUACCUGCAGAAAAAGCACCGGCUAACUACGUGCCAGCAGCCGCGGUAAUACGUAGGGUGCAAGCGUUGUCCGGAAUUAUUGGGCGUAAAGAGCUCGUAGGCGGUUUGUCGCGUCUGCUGUGAAAACCCGAGGCUCAACCUGGGGCCUGCAGUGGGUACGGGCAGACUAGAGUGCGGUAGGGGAGAUUGGAAUUCCUGGUGUAGCGGUGGAAUGCGCAGAUAUCAGGAGGAACACCGAUGGCGAAGGCAGAUCUCUGGGCCGUAACUGACGCUGAGGAGCGAAAGCGUGGGGAGCGAACAGGAUUAGAAACCCGUGUAGUCC